GGCGGGGCGGUGGCCCGGGUUGUAGCCGCCGCCGCUGCCGCCGCCCCCGCCGCCGCCACCUCAGAAGCAGGAACCGAAGUCGUCGCCGCCGCCGCCACUGCCUGGGUCUUCGGUCGGGGCCCGCAGCCAUGGAGGAUUACAUCGUGAUCUCGGACGACAGCGGCUCUGAGAGCUCCGGGGGCGCCCGCCCGGGCCGGUCGCGGAGGCUGCGCCGGGCCCUGUCGCGAACCUCCGGCGCGCUGCCCCGCCGGACCGUGGACUUCAUUGACUUAACUAGAGAGAUCAGACCAAGGACAAAAGAUCGCAGUGGACUGUGUGAUUGACCUGACAAGAGCUGAGGGAGAAAAUAGACCUAUUGCCACUCUUGACUUAACUUUAGAACCUGUCACUCCUUCCCAGAGGGAGCCAACCAGUCUUCAGACAUGUGCCAGCCUCUCUGGCAAAGCGGUGAUGGAAGGGCAGGUGGACAGAAGCUCUCAGCCUACAGCACGGAGACUCAUUAACAGUGAUCCUGUAGAUUUGGACCUAGUGGAAGAAAACACCUUUGUAGGUCCCCCACCCGCUACAUCCAUCAGUGGAGGCUCUGUUUAUCCAACAGAGCCUAAUUGUAGCUCAGCCACAUUCACAGGUAACCUCAGCUUCUUGGCAAGUCUACAGCUGUCUUCAGAUGUUAGCUCCCUCUCCCCAACAAGCAAUAAUAGUAGCAGCAGCAGCAGCAAUCAAAAAGUACCCUUGCCAUGCCCACAGCAAGAUGUGUCUCGCCCACCACAAGCCUUGCCUUGCCCACUGAGAGCCUCACCUUGUCCACCACGAGCCUUGUCAUGCCCAUCACAAACCAUGCAGUGCAAACUACCAGCUCUAACUCAACCACCUCAAGAAGUGCCAUGCCCUCGGCAGAAUAUCCCAAGCCCACCUCAAGACUCGUUAUGGCAUCCUCAACACUCACCAAGCCCACCUCAAGACUCUCUGGGCCUACCUCAAGAUGUGCCAGGCCCGCCUCAAAGCAUAUUACAUCCACAAGAUGUGGCAUACCUGCAAGACAUGCCACAGUCACCAGGAGAUGUGCCACGGUCACCAGGAACCAUGCCACCAUCACCAGAUGUGCCACAGUCAACAGGAGACAUGCUAGGGUCACCAGGAGAUGUGCCACAGUCACCAAGUUAUGUUUCACCGUCACCAGAUGCACCACAGUCACCAGGGGGCAUGCCACACUUACCGGGAGAUGUGUUACAUUCACCUGGAGACAUGCCACACUCAUCAGGGGACGUGACACACUCACCUAGAGACAUCCCUCACUUACCAGGAGACAGGCCUGACUUUACCCAGAAUGAUGUACAGAACUGUGACAUGCCUAUGGAUAUCUCAGCUGCGUCCCCUCCAAGCUGCUCUCCCAGCCCACAGUCUGAAACUCCCUUAGAGAAAGUUCCUUGGCUCUCUGUCAUGGAAACCCCAGCCAGAAAAGAAAUAUCACUGUCAGAGCCUGCCAAACCUGGGUCUGCCCACGUACAAUCACGAACACCACAAGGUGGGUUGUACAACAGACCAUGCCUGCAUAGACUGAAGUACUUCUUACGACCUCCGGUUCAUCAUCUGUUCUUUCAGACGCUAAUACCGGAUAAAGACACGAGAGAACAAGGGUCAAAAAUUAGAACCCAUCCCUCAUCGAAGACUAAGAAUGGUAACAAAUACCAUUGAAGAGAAUUUUCCCCUGGGGACUGUGCAGUUUUUGAUGGACUUUGUGUCACCCCAGCAUUACCCACCAAGAGAAAUCGUGGCUCACAUCAUCCAGAAAAUCUUGCUCAGUGGCUCUGAGACUGUGGAUGUCCUAAAGGAGGCCUACAUGCUUCUCAUGAAAAUUCAACGGCUACAUCCAGCCAAUGCCAAGACAGUGGAGUGGGACUGGAAACUGCUCACCUAUGUCAUGGAGGAAGAGGUUUUGGGGGAACAGGUGGUGUUUGGGUGCAUAGAACCCAGCACCGAGAGGGACCAUCAGAGGAUGUUCCAUGAGAACUUGGUGAGGGUUGUGGAGAGGUUGGCUGGUGCUUCUCCGUCUUCAUACAGAUGUCCAGACAGGGGACCAGAAGUCUCAGGUCUGAGCUCUACCUGGAAGCCCCUCACGUCUGUAGCCAUCAAACCUCCAGAUAAGACGAGCCCUGAAGCAUUUUGGUUGCAUCAGAAAACAGAUGGAAGGCCAGUCUUCACAGAUGCAUAUACUUCAUCCUGGCUUCCACCCACAGAGGUUGCAUCUGUGCAGAAAUUCAUCCCAGAGCACCAGGCAGGUGGGUGUCAACUCCUGCUGAGAUUUCGCUGUAUCAGGAAACUCAUGCAUCUGGUGCAGAUGUCCCGGAGUGGCUCUGACAGUCCAGGGCUGGGCAGUGGAGACACUGAUGACAGCCUUGAGCAGAGUGGUUUUAGUAGAAAUGGCAGAGACAAAAGCCAGGCUAGAGGAGUUUAAGGAAGGAACAGAGGUAAGUAAGCUAGAAAUGAACUUUUCCAGUCACUUGGAAAAAAUAAGACCAAAGAUGAUUAUGCAUAUCACAACUGAUACACACAUAGCCCAGGGCCAGGUUCCCUCCUCUCUGGAACCCCUGAUUCCUGCUGGUGCUGUUUUAUCUCCCCAGGUAGCCACUGUGUCUUUAUCUCCCUCCAGAGAAGCAACGCGCUCCAGACUCUGAUGCACUGGAGGCAGGAGACAGCUGCAGGUGGUGGUGUGCUCUGGAAGAGUAGAAACAGAGACCCCUCAUAGAUACCCUGUCUUCAGAAUAGACCUAGGCUCUUCACCCCACCACCCCUGCCACCACCCCCACCCAAGCCACUGCAGUGUCUUGCCCAGACAAGGGGCAUAGCCAACUAACUG